CCGUCACUCAAAAUAGAAAACAUAAAAAUUAAGACAAACAUCUUAUAUAGGUUUUGGCGUGUAUAUAUAUAUAUAUAUAUAUAUAUAUAUAUAUAUAUAUAUAUAUAUAUAGCUAGGUACGUACCCAUACAUAUACUAGCCAGAAGAAACAAAAGAAAGAUAGUUAGAAAGAGUGUAUAUAUAUGGAUCUGUUGCUACUUGAUGCUUAUACA
rnacentral:lncRNA from 1 species